rnacentral:rRNA from 1 species
UGACCUACCCAAAGAACAAGUCACGGCUAACUACGUGCCAGCAGCCGCGGUAAUACGUAGGUGACAAGCGUUAUCCGGAUUUACUGGGUGUAAAGGGCGUGUAGGCGGUUCUGUAAGUCAGAAGUGAAAUUCCCGGGCUCAACCUGGGCGCUGCUUCUGAAACUACAGAACUUGAGUACUGGAGGGGAAAGCGGAAUUCCUAGUGUAGCGGUAAAAUGCACAGAUAUUAGGAGGAACACCGGUGGCGAAGGCGGCUUUCUGGACAGUAACUGACGCUGAGGCGCGAAAGCGUGGGGAGCAAACAGGAUUAGAUACCCUG